GAGGAACGUAAGAAAACGCUCAUUUCGAAUUUUGGAAACAGUCAAUCGUUUAUUAUUAUUUUUAUUUUAUUUCAUUUAUACAACAGAGAGAAAUUAGAAAGAGAGAAAAA
rnacentral:ribozyme from 1 species